UUGAUGUUCUAACGUUGGUCCCUGAAUCGGGAUUACGGACAGUGCCUGGUGGGUAGUUUGACUGGGGCGGUCUCCUCCCAAAGAGUAACGGAGGAGCACGAAGGUGGGCUAAACACGGUUGGACAUCGUGUGGUUAGUGCAAUGGCAUAAGCCCGCUUGACUGCGAGAAUGACAAUUCGAGCAGGUGCGAAAGCAGGUCAUAGUGAUCCGGUGGUUCUGAAUGGAAGGGCCAUCGCUCAACGGAUAAAAGGUACUCCGGGGAUAACAGGCUGAUACCGCCCAAGAGUUCAUAUCGACGGCGGUGUUUGGCACCUCGAUGUCGGCUCAUCACAUCCUGGGGCUGAAGUCGGUCCCAAGGGUAUGGCUGUUCGCCAUUUAAAGUGGUACGCGAGCUGGGUUUAGAACGUCGUGAGACAGUUCGGUCCCUAUCUGCCGUGGGCGUUGGAAAAUUGAAGGGGGCUGCUCCUAGUACGAGAGGACCGGAGUGGACGAACCUCUGGUGUUCGGGUUGUCAUGCCAAUGGCAUUGCCCGGUAGCUAAGUUCGGAAUCGAUAACCGCUGAAAGCAUCUAAGCGGGAAGCGAGCCCUGAGAUGAGUUUUCCCUG
rnacentral:rRNA from 1 species